rnacentral:rRNA from 1 species
UGCUGCAUGGCUGUCGUCAGCUCGUGUCGUGAGAUGUUGGGUUAAGUCCCGCAACGAGCGCAACCCUUGUCUUUAGUUGCCAUCAUUCAGUUGGGCACUCUAAAGAGACUGCCGGUGUCAAACCGGAGGAAGGUGGGGAUGACGUCAAGUCCUCAUGGCCUUUAUGACCAGGGCUACACACGUACUACAAUGGCCGGUACAAAGGGCAGCCACUUAGCGAUAAGGAGCCAAUCCCGUAAAGCCGGUCUCAGUCCGGAUUGGAGUCUGCAACUCGACUCCAUGGAGUCGGAAUCGCUAGUAAUCGUGGAUCAGCAUGUCACGGUGAAUACGUUCCCGGGUCCUU